AGAGUUUGAUCAUGGCUCAGGAUGAACGCUGGCGGCGUGCUUAACACAUGCAAGUCGAACGGUGAACACGGAGCUUGCUCUGUGGGAUCAGUGGCGAACGGGUGAGUAACACGUGAGCAACCUGCCCCUGACUCUGGGAUAAGCGCUGGAAACGGCGUCUAAUACUGGAUAUGUGACGUGACCGCAUGGUCUGCGUCUGGAAAGAAUCUCGGUUGGGGAUGGGCUCGCGGCCUAUCAGCUUGUUGGUGAGGUAAUGGCUCACCAAGGCGUCGACGGGUAGCCGGCCUGAGAGGGUGACCGGCCACACUGGGACUGAGACACGGCCCAGACUCCUACGGGAGGCAGCAGUGGGGAAUAUUGCACAAUGGGCGCAAGCCUGAUGCAGCAACGCCGCGUGAGGGACGACGGCCUUCGGGUUGUAAACCUCUUUUAGCAGGGAAGAAGCGAAAGUGACGGUACCUGCAGAAAAAGCGCCGGCUAACUACGUGCCAGCAGCCGCGGUAAUACGUAGGGCGCAAGCGUUAUCCGGAAUUAUUGGGCGUAAAGAGCUCGUAGGCGGUUUGUCGCGUCUGCUGUGAAAUCCGGAGGCUCAACCUCCGGCCUGCAGUGGGUACGGGCAGACUAGAGUGCGGUAGGGGAGAUUGGAAUUCCUGGUGUAGCGGUGGAAUGCGCAGAUAUCAGGAGGAACACCGAUGGCGAAGGCAGAUCUCUGGGCCGUAACUGACGCUGAGGAGCGAAAGGGUGGGGAGCAAACAGGCUUAGAUACCCUGGUAGUCCACCCCGUAAACGUUGGGAACUAGUUGUGGGGUCCAUUCCACGGAUUCCGUGACGCAGCUAACGCAUUAAG
rnacentral:rRNA from 1 species